rnacentral:tRNA from 2 species
GGCGGUGUGCCCGAGUGGCCAAAGGGAGCGGACUGUAAAUCCGCCGGCUCAGCCUUCCAAGGUUCGAAUCCUUGCGCCGCCA